rnacentral:rRNA from 1 species
UACGUAGGGUGCGAGCGUUAAUCGGAAUUACUGGGCGUAAAGCGUGCGCAGGCGGUUCGUUAAGUCAGCUGUGAAAGCCCCGGGCUUAACCUGGGAAUGGCGGUUGAAACUGGCGAACUUGAAUCUGGCAGAGGGGGGUGGAAUUCCACGUGUAGCAGUGAAAUGCGUAGAGAUGUGGAGGAACACCCAGGGGGAAACCAGUCGACUGGGCAUCUACUGACGCUGAGGUGCGAGAGCGUGGGGAGCGAACCGG